rnacentral:rRNA from 1 species
GAUGAACGCUGGCGGCGUGCCUAAUACAUGCAAGCCGAGCGAAUGGAUUAAGAGCUUGCUCUUAUGAAGUUAGCGGCGGACGGGUGAGUAACACGUGGGUAACCUGCCCAUAAGACUGGGAUAACUCCGGGAAACCGGGGCUAAUACCGGAUAACACUUUGAACCGCAUGGUUCGAAAUUGAAAGGCGGCUUCGGCUGUCACUUAUGGAUGGACCCGCGUCGCAUUAGCUAGUUGGUGAGGUAACGGCUCACCAAGGCAACGAUGCGUAGCCGACCUGAGAGGGUGGUCGGCCACACUGAGACUGAGACACGGCCCAGACUCCUACGGGAGGCAGCAGUAGGGAAUCUUCCGCAAUGGACGAAAGUCUGACGGAGCAACGCCGCGUGAGUGAUGAAGGCUUUCGGGUCGUAAAACUCUGUUGUUAGGGAAGAACAAGUGCUAGUUGAAUAAGCUGGCACCUUGACGGUACCUAACCAGAAAGCCACGGCUAACUACGUGCCAGCCGCCGCAGUAA